rnacentral:lncRNA from 1 species
AGGAUGACCCACCUGAGUUGCUCCCAACCCAGGGCAGAGGCUCUGGUGGGAGCUUGAAGACAUUUGGAAAUGAAACCAAAGAGUCUGUGGAACGUGGAUUCCAGCCCUGGGCCUGUACCGAGAAGGCCAGAUCACGAAGGGCAAUGGUCACUCCUUGAAUUUGCAAGGAUGUGUCAUUGCGAGUGUUUUGUACGCACAUUUCUUUCAUUUGAUUGGCAUCUACCUGGUGGAAGAUAAGUUAGAGGAGAAUGUCGUGAGGACAUUCAUUCUGUUCCCUUGGCUUCAGACCUGGGUGUGUCACUAGGCCUUUGAGUUCUUGAGCCUCAGUUUCCUUAUCUGUAAACGGCUAGUGUGGAGGAGGUGCUGUAACCUGGCAUACAGAAGUGGCCCAGUAAGUGGUGACUGACUGUCUUCAGCCUUCACACGUUUUAAUAAAGCCCUUUAGGUGCUGGGCCUGAGGAGAAAUGCUACGAUGUACCAGACGUGGUUUUUCUCACGUGUAAAAUAUAGUUAGUUGGUGAAUGGGGCACUGGCAGACGUGCUCGCAGGGUGCAACGGGAAGGUUUUGUGGAGAGGGCAUUUGCUUUGAGUUGUGAACAAAGAGCUGGAAAAGGUACCCAGGUGAGGUCUGGUGGGUCAGGACCCGGGGGUGUGUGGAGGAGGAGUGGGAGGUGAGGCCAGAGAAAGCAGCAAGAGUAAGGGUGGGCUUUGUAUCAGGCUAGGCCAUACGUCUUCAUCCCUUAAUGGGUUCUAAUCUCGGUUCUAUUACUGCCUGACAAAUUAUCUCCAAAUUUAGCAGAUUAAAAUAGCCGUACACUUUAAUCAUCUCACAUUUCCGAGGGUCAGGAAUUUGGGAGCAACUUAGGAGGGUGAUUCUGGCUGAGAGAGUCU